UACGUAGGGGGCUAGCGUUGUCCGGAUUUAUUGGGCGUAAAGAGCGUGUAGGCGGCCAAGUAGGUCCGGUGUGAAAACUCGAGGCUUAACCUCGAGAUGUCAUCGGAAACCAUUUGGCUAGAGUCCGGAAGAGGAAAGUGGAAUUCCUGGUGUAGCGGUGAAAUGCGCAGAUAUCAGGAGGAACACCGGUGGCGAAGGCGGCAUCCUGGACCAACACUGACGCUGAGGAGCGAAAGCCAGGGGAGCAAACGGG
rnacentral:rRNA from 1 species